UACGUAGGGUGCGAGCGUUAAUCGGAAUUACUGGGCGUAAAGCGUGCGCAGGCGGUUGGUUAAGUCUGAUGCGAAAGCCCCGGGCUCAACUUGGGAAUGGCAUUGGAAACUGGCUGGCUAGAGUGUGGCAGAGGGGGGUGGAAUUCCGCGUGUAGCAGUGAAAUGCGUAGAGAUGCGGAGGAACACCGAUGGCGAAGGCAGCCCCCUGGGCUAGCACUGACGCUCAGGCACGAAAGCGUGGGGAGCAAACAGG
rnacentral:rRNA from 1 species